rnacentral:precursor_RNA from 12 species
UACGUAUAAUUAAUUAAUCUACAACGUCACCCAAAGUAGUGAACGUAAUUUAUCGUGAGCUAUCUAUAGAUAUUAUGCUCAUUACUUUGGAGAAGUUGUACGAACAUUCAUCGAUGGAGAAU